UUUUUUAUUUCCAGUUACAGUCGGUGUUUAUUUUGGCCUAGAAUCAGGAAUGCAUGAUUUAAACCAUUAUGAGUAAUUCAACAGAAGAAUUUAGUUUAGAGGAAAGAACUUCCUUACUAGGACUUGCUAUUUUUGGUAUUCUAUCGGUUAUUAUUAUUGUUGUCAUAGCAACCUGCAAGUUUGGAUGCCAAGAACAGCCUUACAAGAGACGUAUCUCACCAGUAGCCCAGGUGUCAAAGGGUGAUCUUUUCCAAGUUAGCAUGUAUAUGUCAAAAUUACAUUUCAAUCUAUUAGACUUUCAGGAGAAAGCUAACCCUAGUGUGGUAGAAACAACACAUAACAAGGAAAAGGAAAAUGAUAAUCGGAAAACAGUGAAAUUGAAAAAACAUUCAGACAACAUGCUGACUGGAUGAAUGUAACUAUUCAGCUGUUGUGACAAUUUGUUAGUGUCAACUAUCUGCCGUAAUCAAGCUGAAACAAACUGCUCAAAAUUGCAAACGUGACAUUUGAAUAAGAACAUUGGAAAACAUUCUGAACUUUGCAUUUUGCGUGUAUCUAAAACAGUGUAAAUAUGUUAAUUCUAUACUAGGGAAAGGAUAUUAAAUACAGUGUUUUAGUCAGCUUAGUUUUGCAUACUUUCAUCUUAUAUUUUUCGCAAUAAACACCGGAAGUUUUUCCAAAGGCCUGUGGAUGUUGUCGUUGAAAUGGUAUCCUUUUGAUUUUAUCUAUAAAUGCAUGAAAGUGAAGUUUUUACAAUUUACAAUUAACAAACGAACAGACAAGCGAGAGAGAGAGAGAGAGAGAGAGAGAGAGAGAGAGAGAGAGAGAGAGAGAUGCAAUCUCCUUUAACACUGCAUUACCCUGUCGUAAACAAAACAAUGUAAUAUAGUUUAAUAAAUAAUAAAACCUUUAACUGACA